UUGGCUUGGAAACGCGGAAGUAGUGAACCGCGGCUUGUGAUUGGUCAGAAUCAGGCAGGUCUCGACUCCGUUUGUAUGCGCGAUCAAGUUGGGUUGAGAUAUAAAGUACGCAGCUGUAUAGGACACCCUGUACAUGUGCACGUCCACAACACGUGUUUUUACAGGAUCGCUCUGGAUCCUGGUCCUUUCCCCGGGAACACUGGGCACGGGGCAGGAGAACUCACCCUGCACACACACACACACUCUUCUAGGGGCAAUGUAGCAUAACCAAAUCCAGGUAUGUCACUUCUGUGGGAGGAAACCAGAGAACCUGAAGGAAACCCAAUACCAGGAGCACAUGUGAAACUCCACACAGACCCGGGAUCGAGCCGGAGGAAGCCGGAGCUGUGAGGCAAAAAUGCCGCUCACUGCAAAAAUACGUACGAACAUAUUCGUUUAUUUCGUGCCAUUAUAGCUGGAUGUUCCACUCGUCCAGAUGUAGACUGGUUUCUUAUUCACAUCACUUUCUGAUUUUUCUUUUAAAAUUGCAGUUAGAUUAAAGUGAACAUUGUUUAA